CUACGGAAGGUCCAGGUGUUAUCCGGAUUUAUUGGGUUUAAAGGGAGCGUAGGCGGGAGUUAAAGUCAGUUGUGAAAAGCCUGGGCCCAACUCAGGUCGUGCAGUUGAUACUAAAUUUCUUGAGUGCGCACGAGGAAGGUGGAAUUUGUGGUGUAGCGGUGAAAUGCAUAGAUAUCACGAAGAACUCCGAUUGCGAAGGCAGCCUUCCGGAGCGUUACUGACGCUGAGGCUCGAAGGUGCGGGUAUCAAACAGGAUUAGAUACCCUGGUAGUCCGCACAGUAAACGAUGGAUGCCGGCUGUAGGCGACAAAAUGUCUGUGGUUAGGCGAAAGCAUUAAGCAUCCCACCUGGGGAGUACGCCGGCAACGGUGAAACUCAAAUGAAUUGACGGGG
rnacentral:rRNA from 1 species